UACGGAGGGUGCAAGCGUUAUCCGGAUUCACUGGGUUUAAAGGGUGCGUAGGUGGGCAGGUAAGUCAGUGGUGAAAUCUCCGAGCUUAACUCGGAAACUGCCGUUGAUACUAUUUGUCUUGAAUAUUGUGGAGGUAAGCGGAAUAUGUCAUGUAGCGGUGAAAUGCUUAGAUAUGUCAUAGAACACCGAUUGCGAAGGCAGCUUGCUGGGCUUAGAUUGACGCUGAGGCACGAAAGCGUGGGGAGCAAACAGG
rnacentral:rRNA from 1 species